UACAGCUUCUGCAAUUUAGAGUCUGAAGUACUUACUACUGUGAAAUUCCUGUGAGUGAAGGACUGCUAGUGGCAGAUGGCGAGACCCGUUGAUGAAUGAAUAGCACAAGUACUGGGAGACUCAGGAGAGCUCUGCUGAGGCUCUGUCUUCCGGUCAAACCCACAGCUCACUGAUAUGGCGAGUCUCACUAGCCAGCUUGCUCCAGAGGUCCCCUUUGUCUGCCUUCCAGCUCAUUGGACAGAUGAUGCGAUGCUCACUCUCAGGCUCAGGACCGAGUGGAAGCCUCACCUGCUGGAAACUCCAGGCAGUAGCUGCCCAUCGGGGGCCGGAACUGCUUCACCAGGAUGACGCACUCAUGGUGCAGGGUUCUUUGCAGCACAGGUAUGACCGACACGGCUGCCAGAGAGAAACACAGCUAGGGAGUCCUGUUCACAGAAAGCCCGUUACAAAUUCCGCAUUGGAAGGCAGUGUAUCCAAAUCGCUCUGAAUUUGCUCUUAAGCAAAUUAACUUAAUCUACUGUGUUGGCAGCCAAAUUUGAAACUAGUCUCAUUUUAAAAUAUAAAAAGUAACAUUCUGUGUGAUUUUUUUUUAUUAUAAAAAGUUCAUUUUGUCACAA